rnacentral:rRNA from 1 species
AGCUCCAAUAGCGUAUAUUAAAGUUGUUGCAGUUAAAAAGCUCGUAGUUGGAUUUGUGGUGGCCUUGGGCGGCCUGGCACUUAGUGUGAGUGUUUGCCCGAGGCGCCAUUCCUUGGGUGGAACCUGUGUGGCAUUAGGUUGUCGUGCAGGGGAUGCCCAUCGUUUACUGUGAAAAAAUUAGAGUGUUCAAAGCAGGCUUAUGCCGUUGAAUAUAUUAGCAUGGAAUAAUAAGAUAGGACCUUGGUACUAUUUUGUUGGUUUGCGCACCAAGGUAAUGAUUAAUAGGGACAGUUGGGGGUAUUCGUAUUCCAUUGUCAGAGGUGAAAUUCUUGGAUUUUUGGAAGACGAACUACUGCGAAAGCAUUUACCAAGGAUGUUUUCAUUA